GAUGAACGCUAGCUACAGGCUUAACACAUGCAAGUCGAGGGGCAUCAGGAAGAAAGCUUGCUUUCUUUGCUGGCGACCGGCGCACGGGUGAGUAACACGUAUCCAACCUGCCCUUUACUCGGGGAUAGCCUUUCGAAAGAAAGAUUAAUACCCGAUGGCAUAAUGAUUCCGCAUGGGAAUAUUUGUUAAAGAUUCAUCGCUGAUAGAUAGGCAUGCGUUCCAUUAGGCAGUUGGCGGGGUAACGGCCCACCAAACCGACGAUGGAUAGGGGUUCUGAGAGGAAGGUCCCCCACAUUGGUACUGAGACACGGACCAA
rnacentral:rRNA from 1 species